GACGAACGCUGGCGGCGUGCUUAACACAUGCAAGUCGAACGAAAAGGCCCUGCUUUUGUGGGGUGCUCGAGUGGCGAACGGGUGAGUAACACGUGAGUAACCUGCCCUUGACUUUGGGAUAACUUCAGGAAACUGGGGCUAAUACCGGAUAGGAGCUCCUGCUGCAUGGUGGGGGUUGGAAAGUUUCGGCGGUUGGGGAUGGACUCGCGGCUUAUCAGCUUGUUGGUGGGGUAGUGGCUUACCAAGGCUUUGACGGGUAGCCGGCCUGAGAGGGUGACCGGCCACAUUGGGAUUGAGAUACGGCCCAGACUCCUACGGGAGGCAGCAGUGGGGAAUAUUGCACAAUGGGCGGAAGCCUGAUGCAGCAACGCCGCGUGCGGGAUGACGGCCUUCGGGUUGUAAACCGCUUUCGCCUGUGACGAAGCGUGAGUGACGGUAAUGGGUAAAGAAGCACCGGCUAACUACGUG
rnacentral:rRNA from 1 species